rnacentral:rRNA from 1 species
UUCACCUACGGGGCGCAGCAGUGGGGAAUAUUGGGCAAUGGGGGAAACCCUGACCCAGCAACGCCGCGUGAGGGAAGAAGGUUUUCGGAUCGUAAACCUCUGUCCUUGGUGAAGAGAAGAAGACGGUAGCCAAGGAGGAAGCCCCGGCUAAAUACGUGCCAGCAGCCGCGGUAAUACGUAUGGAGCAAGCGUUAUCCGGAUUUACUGGGUGUAAAGGGAGCGCAGACGGCAAGGCAAGUCUGAUGUGAAAGUCCGAGGCUCAACCUCGGGACUGCAUUGGAAACUGUCUGGCUAGAGUGCAGGAG